rnacentral:rRNA from 1 species
AUUGAACGCUGGCGGCAUGCCUUACACAUGCAAGUCGAACGGCAGCGCGGGGCAACCUGGCGGCGAGUGGCGAACGGGUGAGUAACAUAUCGGAACAUACCCUAGAGUGGGGGAUAACGUAGCGAAAGUUACGCUAAUACCGCAUACGCACUAAGGUGGAAAGUGGGGGGAUCUUCGGACCUCAUGCUCAUGGAGUGGCCGAUAUCUGAUUAGCUAGUUGGUAAGGUAACGGCUCACCAAGCCGACGAUCUGUAGCUGGUCUGAGAGGACGACCAGCCACACUGGGACUGAGACACGGCCCAGACUCCUACGGGAGGCAGCAGUGGGGAAUUUUGGACAAUGGGCGCAAGCCUGAUCCAGCAAUGCCGCGUGCAGGAUG